UACGGAAGGCAGCAGUGGGGAAUAUUGCACAAUGGGCGCAAGCCUGAUGCAGCCAUGCCGCGUGUAUGAAGAAGGCCUUCGGGUUGUAAAGUACUUUCAGCGGGGAGGAAGGCGAUGCGGUUAAUAACCGCGUCGAUUGACGUUACCCGCAGAAGAAGCACCGGCUAACUCCGUGCCAGCAGCCGCGGUAAUACGGAGGGUGCAAGCGUUAAUCGGAAUUACUGGGCGUAAAGCGCACGCAGGCGGUCUGUUUAAGUCAGAUGUGAAAUCCCCCGGGCUUAACCUGGGAACUGCAUUUUGAAACUGGCAGGCUUGAGUCUUGUAGAGGGGGUAGAAUUCCAGGUGUAGCGGUGAAAUGCGUAGAGAUCUGGAGGAAUACCGGUGGCGAAGGCGGCCCCUGGGACAAAGACUGACGCUCAGGUGCGAAAGCGUGGGGAGCAAACAGGAUUAGAUACC
rnacentral:rRNA from 1 species